GACGAACGCUGGCGGCGUGCUUAACACAUGCAAGUCGAACGGAAAGGCCCCCUUGUGGGGUACUCGAGUGGCGAACGGGGGAGUAACACGUGAGUAACCUACCCUUGACUUUGGGAUAACUUCAGGAAACUGGGGCUAAUACCGUAUAGGAGCUCCUGCUGCAUGGUGGGGGUUGGAAAGUUUCGGCGGUUGGGGAUGGACUCGCGGCUUAUCAGCUUGUUGGUGGGGUAGUGGCUCACCAAGGCUUUGACGGGUAGCCGGCCUGAGAGGGUGACCGGCCACAUUGGGACUGAGGUACGGCCCAGACUCCUACGGGAGGCAGCAGUGGGGAAUAUUGCACAAUGGGCGGAAGCCUGAUGCAGCAACGCCGCGUGCGGGAUGACGGCCUUCGGGUUGUAAACCGCUUUCGCCUGUGACGAAGCGUGAGUGACGGUAAUGGGUAAAGAAGCACCGGCUAACUACGUG
rnacentral:rRNA from 1 species